rnacentral:snoRNA from 1 species
UUGAUACAAUGAUGAAAGCAUAGUUCAGCUGAUAAUCUAUGAUGAAUUCUCAGCAUUGUCUUUCGCUCCUAUCUGAUGUAUCCU